AGCUGCAGUAUCUUGACUGUACAAAGGUAGCAUAAUCAUUAGUUUUUUAAUUGAAAGCUGGAAUGAAUGGUUGAAUAAGGAAGUGACUGUCUCUUUUUAAUUAAGUUGAAUUUUAUUUUUAAGUCAAAAAGCUUAAAUUUUAUAGAAAGACGAGAAGACCCUAUAGAGUUUAAUAUACUUAAGUUUUUAUGGUUGAGGGUUGAAUUUUGUAAAAGCUUGAUUUUAUUUUGUUGGGGUGAUAUUAGAAUUUAAUUAACUUCUUUUUGUAAAGUCAUUGAUUUAUGAAUGAAUGAUCCUGAUUUUUGGAUUGAAAGAAUAAAUUACCUUAGGGAUAACAGCGUAAUUUUUUUGGAGAGUUCUUAUCGAUAAGAAAGAUUGCGACCUCGAUGUUGGAUUAAAGUUGAUUACCGGUGAAGAAGUUGGUAUAUUAA
rnacentral:rRNA from 1 species